rnacentral:rRNA from 1 species
AUGGCUGAGAUGGUCAAGUCGGUCAUUGUUGGGGAAGCAGUUAGCCGGAUUAUUUCGGGUAUUGCCCCCACCAGCAAAGACGAGGACAAAGCAGAUGAAGAAGCAUCAGGAGGUGGUAGCCUAGAGAGGCUCGAGAUGGCGCGCAUCAAAAUGGAGGCCGCAGUCCAAACGUCCAACAAGUGGCAGAUCACCGACACGUCGCUCCUCCGUUGGCGAAAGAAGCUCAAGCGCACUGCCCAGGACUGUGACGACGUAGCGCGCAGAUGCAGGCAACUUUCUCGGGAAGAAGACGAGGCAGAGCAGGUGGUAAGGAAAUCCUCAUUUCCUAGACGGAUGGCUCAUGCGACCAAGGUGUUCAUCUCCUCUUUCGUUGGCCACGACAAUGAUCAUCGCUCUGCGGGGAGUGCCACCACCGCUGUUGUUCGAAGAUUCGAGAGGCUUGCGGACGGUGCUGAUGAAUUUAUCAGGUAUGUGCAGAUCGGCAGGACACCACGUCAGAACCUGUUCUUCGACCCUCUCAUUGGGCAUCUCUUCACGGGCAAAAUGAUUGCUUAUCAGUUGUUGCGUCCUGGAGGUCAGUACCAAUACUUCCGCAUAGGGCCAAUCAAUUUCCAGGAGUGUGGGCUGGAGGCCUUUCUAUCCUUCAUGUACGAAGAUUGUAAGGUGCCCAAGAACAGUUUUUGCCUAGGGGUCAUGCUGCGUCUGUCUGAGAGUACGGACAUAAUUGGAACCGUUGUCAAGUGCUUGCGAGUUAUGACACCUCACUUCAACUCUAUGACCGACGUUGUUAUCAAGGAGAUCACCCAUCUCCCUACGCAAGAUUUCUCCUGUGUUGGACACGAGAAACACUGGGUUCACGUCCAUAGAACUUUGACUGAAUAG